UUCUCCAGUAGUCAUUUCUUCGUAACUCUGAUAAACGAUUUUGGUAUCGAUGAAGAAUAUUUAUUUAAGGAGUUACACAGGAUUUUGGUCGAGUUUGAGACUUCCGAUUCUUCCGUAGAAAUAAAACCAAAGAAACGACGCCAGCCUAUCAUAUCAGACGAUUCUGACGAUAAAAAUAUAUAUUUUUUCUUUAAUUUUUACCGGAAUUUGUCCUUUGUGAUGACAUGACAUGUGAUGAUUAUUCAUUAUUUUCUAAUAUAUACCAAUUUUAUAAUAUUA